rnacentral:rRNA from 1 species
GUCCACGCUGUAAACGAUGAUUACUAGGUGUGGGGACUGACCCCUUCCGUGCCGCAGUUAACACAAUAAGUAAUCCACCUGGGGAGUACGACCGCAAGGUUGAAACUCAAAGGAAUUGACGGGGCCCGCACAAGCAGUGGAGUAUGUGGAUUAAUUCGAAGCAACGCGAAGAACCUUACCAGGUCUUGACAUCGUACGCAUAGCAUAGAGAUAUGUGAAAUCCCUUCGGGGACGUAUAGACAGGUGGUGCAUGGUUGUCGU